rnacentral:misc_RNA from 1 species
AGCAGCCGCGGUAAUUCCAGCUCCAAUAGCGUAUAUUAAAGUUGUUGCAGUUAAAAAGCUCGUAGUUGAAUUUCGGGACUAAUAUGUCGGUCGUGCCUCGGUACGUACUGGUUUAUUGGUUUCUCCUUUCUGAAGAACCAUGAUGUCAUUUAUUUGGUGUCGUGGGGAAUCAGGACUGUUACUUUGAAAAAAUUAGAGUGUUUAAAGCAGGCUCACGCUUGAAUACAUUAGCAUGGAAUAAUGAAAUAGGACGUUUGAUUCUAUUUUGUUGGUUUCUAGGAUCGACGUAAUGAUUAAUAGGGAUAGUUGGGGGCAUUAGUAUUCAAUUGUCAGAGGUGAAAUUCUUGGAUUUAUUGAAGACUAACUACUGCGAAAGCAUUUGCCAAGGAUGUUUUCAUUAAUCAAGAACGAAAGUUAGGGGAUCGAAGACGAUCAGAUACCGUCGUAGUCUUAACCAUAAACU